rnacentral:rRNA from 1 species
CCUACGGGGGGCUGCAGUGGGGAAUAUUGCGCAAUGGGGGAAACCCUGACGCAGCAACGCCGCGUGAAGGAUGAAGGUUUUCGGAUUGUAAACUUCUUUAGUCGGGGACGAAUAAUGACGGUACCCGAAGAAUAAGCCACGGCUAACUACGUGCCAGCAGCCGCGGUAAUACGUAGGUGGCGAGCGUUGUCCGGACUUACUGGGUGUAAAGGGCGUGUAGGCGGGAAGAUAAGUCAGAUGUGAAAUUCCAGGGCUCAACUCUGGCGCUGCAUCUG